UUUACUAAAUGUUUCAUUUACUGAAUUGUUUCAUUUAUUCCUUAAAACAACUCAGCUCUAUUCUCGGAGCCGUUACUUGCAGCUCAGCAUUGUUAUAAGGAAUAAAUGAAACAAAAAGUACUUAACAUAGUGCCUCCACAUAAGAUAUCACAAGCUGCUAACUACUAUUUUUGUUAUGCAUUGUCUGAAGAUAAGUCACAAAGUUGGUUCUUAGCUUUCAGGUAACUAAUAGUGAAGGGAGAAAAGCAACCACUUAAAGAAUUUACAGGCCGGGCGAGGUAGCUCACACCUGUAAUCCUAGUUCUUUGGGAGGCAGAGGCUGGUGGAUUGCUUGAGCUCAGGAGUUCGAGACCAACCUGGUCAACAUGGCAAAACCCCAUCUAUACAAAAAAUUUGCAGGGCGUGGUGGUGCGGGCCUGUAGUCCCAGCUACCUGGGGGGCUGAGGUGGGAGGAUUGCUUGAGCCCAGGAGGUCGAGGCUGCAGUGAGCCAAGAUCGAGCCACUGCAUUCCAGACUGGGUAGCAAAGUGAGACCCUGUCUCAAAAACAAAACAAAACAAAAAAAGAAUUUAUAGUUUCCAAGGUGAAACAAACAAACCAGCUGCUUAGGAAAACACAGCUGAUUUUAACAUGUUCUGAGGAGCACAAUUUUUCUUGCUGGUACUCAUGAAGAAAACAUCUUACUUCAUAUUUAAAGGUAUUUUUAAUGUGAAUAGAGUCAAAAUAAUUUAUAAAAGUGGUCUUUGGGGUCCAGAUUGAUGUGUUCUAAUUAUGAGCCUCUGUGAUCGGACUUAAUUCAAAGAUAGAUUUUUGAGGGGCUAGAGGAAUGGAUUGAACUUUAGGAAUUUCUCUAUGGAUAUUGUUUCUCUUCUCUGUGCUUUUGAAAUGGCAGUGAGUGAGUCUGGCAUUGGUAGGUGAUGCUCACACUUAUGCAUUCCAGUGAUAACUUUCGUCAAGUUCAAGACUGUUUUGGAAAAUUUCUGCAUAACUUUGUUGAGUUUUAGAAUUAUAUUUGCAGUUAAAAUUUUUAUUUUAAUUGUGAAAUACCAAAUCUGAAGUUGUAUUUUAAUAUUCUUUAAGCUAUAGAAGUCAGUACAACAGUUAAUUUUUCCUUAGUAUUAAACAUUCUUAUACCAUAGUGUAAAAAUGAGAAAUUUGGAAUAUCUCACUUUUAUUUACUAUGUUAAAUGCUCCAUUCCUUCUCCCCACCAGGCACACCCACAUAAAAAAAGAUUUUUGGAAAGAUGUUAUAGGGCAGAGUGUGUUAAGAGAUGAGCCGGGCAUAAUGGCUCAUGCCUGUAAUCCCAGCACUUUGGGAGGCCAAGGCAGGCAGAUCACUUGAGGUCAGGAGUUUGAGAGUAGCCUGGCCAACAUGGUGAAAUCCCGUCUCUACUAAAAAUACAAAAAUUAGCUAGGUGUGGUGGUGGGUAUCUGUAAACAGCCUGGCUAACUUGCAAGGCUGAGGCAGGAGAAUCGCUUGCACCCGAGAUGUGGAGGUUGCAGUGAGCCGAGAUCGCACCACUACAGUCCGGCGUGGGUGACAGGGCAAGCCUCUGUCUC
rnacentral:lncRNA from 10 species